AGAGUUUGAUCCUGGCUCAGGACGAACGCUGGCGGCGUGCUUAACACAUGCAAGUCGAACGGUGAAGCUCCAGCUUGCUGGAGUGGAUCAGUGGCGAACGGGUGAGUAACACGUGAGCAACCUGCCCUUGACUCUGGGAUAACCCCGGGAAACCGGAGCUAAUACCGGAUAGGACUGCCGCGGGCAUCUGCGGUGGUGGAAAGAUUUAUUGGUCAAGGAUGGGCUCGCGGCCUAUCAGCUUGUUGGUGGGGUAAUGGCCUACCAAGGCGACGACGGGUAGCCGGCCUGAGAGGGCGACCGGCCACACUGGGACUGAGACACGGCCCAGACUCCUACGGGAGGCAGCAGUGGGGAAUAUUGCACAAUGGGCGAAAGCCUGAUGCAGCGACGCCGCGUGAGGGAUGAAGGCCUUCGGGUUGUAAACCUCUUUCAGCAGGGAAGAAGCGCAAGUGACGGUACCUGCAGAAGAAGCACCGGCUAACUACGUGCCAGCAGCCGCGGUAAUAC
rnacentral:rRNA from 1 species